GUGGGGAAUAUUGGACAAUGGGCGAAAGCCUGAUCCAGCAAUGCCGCGUGUGUGAAGAAGGCCUUCGGGUUGUAAAGCACUUUUGUCCGGAAAGAAAUCCUUUGGGUUAAUACCUCGGAGGGAUGACGGUACCGGAAGAAUAAGGACCGGCUAACUACGUGCCAGCAGCCGCGGUAAUACGUAGGGUCCGAGCGUUAAUCGGAAUUACUGGGCGUAAAGCGUGCGCAGGCGGUUUUGUAAGACAGAUGUGAAAUCCCCGGGCUUAACCUGGGAAUUGCAUUUGUGACUGCAAGGCUAGAGUGUGUCAGAGGGGGGUAGAAUUCCACGUGUAGCAGUGAAAUGCGUAGAGAUGUGGAGGAAUACCGAUGGCGAAGGCAGCCCCCUGGGAUAACACUGACGCUCAUGCACGAAAGCGUGGGGAGCAAACAGGAUUAGAAACCCUUGUAGUCC
rnacentral:rRNA from 1 species